rnacentral:lncRNA from 11 species
GAAGGUCUGUUUUGUUUUAAUUUCCUAAUUAAAUGUCCUAAUUGUACAUGUUUUAUGCAGUUAAAACUGAAGCCACGGAAGAGGAGCAUCUUGCCCAUCAUCCACAACAGGAAGGAACUGGUCUUCCCAUUAAUCCCAAUGGCAAACCCUUCAUUUCCCAGAAAGAGGGCUCUCCGCUUUCAAGAGUUGGAAUUUCGGCAGUGAAAGUCAAGCGGGAGACGGACAGCCCUCCUCUUCGAUACCCAAAUGGACUCGGAUCCAAUAAUAUCCCCAGAAUCAUCGACCAAGGAAAGAGAUCCUUGGGCCUCAAAAUUAAGCAGGAACCUCAUGAGGAUGGAUUGGAGCAGCCCCCCUUUCCAGCCCAGAGGAGACCCCCAAGAGAGGAGGAGGAGGAGGAUGGGCCGUAUCCGCACUCCAGGGUCUCCAGUAGCGGCAGCGCAGAGGCCGGCACGGAUCCGGGCCUUUGGAUCCCCUAUUCGGAAGGUGAGAUGUUGCCCAGACCAGGUGAAGGCUCCAUCCAUACUCUGCUUGGGUGUUAGGAAUUG